GUCUACAGCCAUGCCACCCUGAAAGUGCCCGAUCUCGUCUGAUCUCAGAAGCUAAGCAGGGUCGGGCCUGGUUAGAAUUUGGAUGGGAGACCACCUAGAAAUCCCAGGUGCUGUAAGCG
rnacentral:rRNA from 1 species